CCCUUAGAUGUUCUGGGCCGCACGCGCGCUACACUGAUACGUUCAACGAGCUCCUUGACCGAGAGGCCCGGGUAAUCUUUGAAACCGUAUCGUGAUGGGGAUAGAACAUUGCAAUUAUUGUUCUUCAACGAGGAAUGCCUAGUAAGCGCGAGUCAUCAUCUCGCGUUGAUUACGUCCCUGCCCUUUGUACACACCGCCCGUCGCACCUACCGAUUGGAUGGUCCGGUGAAGCCUCGGGAUUGUGGUUCUUGCCGCUUUAUUGUGGCGUGACCGCGAGAACUUGUCUAAACCUUAUCAUCUAGAGGAAGGUGAAGUCGUAACA
rnacentral:rRNA from 1 species